rnacentral:rRNA from 1 species
UACGAAGGGGGCAAGCGUUGUUCGGAUUACUGGCGUAAGCGUACGUAGGCGGAGUCAUUAAGUCAGGGGUGAAAUCCCGGGGCUCAACCUCGGAACUGCCUUUGAUACUGGUGAUCUUGAGUCCGGGAGAGGUGAGUGGAACUCCUAGUGUAGAGGUGAAAUUCGUAGAUAUUAGGAAGAACACCAGUGGCGAAGGCGGCUCACUGGCCCGGAACUGACGCUGAGGUACGAAAGCGUGGGGAGCAAACAGG